AGUAGCCCCUAGAGGCAUCCCAAGUAUGGUAACUGGGUCACUGGGUCACGUGCCCAUAGGUGCCAUAGAAAAGAGACUACACCUGUGCCCAGUGUUCUGACCUAUGAACAUCUGAAUGAUUAGUAGCCUAACAUU